GUAUAGCAUAAUUACAACAAUUAUGCUAACAGUAGUGAUGAUUAAUGUUGAGAUGAGGGGAUUGGUUGCAUGCUUAUAUAUGUGCCGUCUAUAAUUUAUGGAAUUAUCCCAAAUGAUAUGAUUGUCCGUUGCUUGGUAUAUGUAUGUACGUUUUGGCGCAGCAUGCAUUUUGGGGGAAGGGAAUUGGUGGAGUCGUCGAGCAAGUGCUAUCCCCUUUCUGUCUUUCAGCUACUCUAGUCUUUGCCUUAGAUUCGUGCUUCUGCAUUUUUGAGAGAAAAGUGAGUACUUUCAAUCUUUGUAUUUUUUGCAAGUGGGAUUGCAUGCAAAAGGGUUGUCAUGAGCAAAAAAGGCAUCUGGUGUGCUUGUUUUGGCUAGUAUACAUCAUGUCUUUGAUUCUGUGCUUGAUUACAGUUUACUUGACACCGAUGAUUUGAUUUAUUUAAGUUUGAAUUGCACAACUCUGUAAUGGAGAAUUCGGGGUUGGGUGUUGAUUAUUGUGACAUUCAGAGAGGAUUCUUUGAAGGGACUGACAAUCAAAGGAAAUGCUAGUCUUUAGGGUUAAUU
rnacentral:misc_RNA from 1 species